rnacentral:rRNA from 1 species
GAUGAACGCUGGCGGCGUGCUUAACACAUGCAAGUCGAGCGAAGCACUUAAGUUCGAUUCUUCGGAUGAAGACUUUUGUGACUGAGCGGCGGACGGGUGAGUAACGCGUGGGUAACCUGCCUCAUACAGGGGGAUAACAGUUAGAAAUGGCUGCUAAUACCGCAUAAGACCACAGUACUGCAUGGUACAGUGGUAAAAACUCCGGUGGUAUGAGAUGGACCCGCGUCUGAUUGGGUAGUUGGUGAGGUAACGGCCCACCAAGCCGACGAUCAGUAGCCGACCUGAGAGGGUGACCGGCCACAUUGGGACUGAGACACGGCCCAGACUCCUACGGGAGGCAGCAGUGGGGAAUAUUGCACAAUGGGCGAAAGCCUGAUGCAGCGACGCCGCGUGAAGGAUGAAGUAUUUCGGUAUGUAAACUUCUAUCAGCAGGGAAGAAAAUGACGGUACCUGA